rnacentral:rRNA from 1 species
CCUACGGGAGGCAGCAGUGAGGAAUAUUGGUCAAUGGCCGGAAGGCUGAACCAGCCAUACCGCGUGAAGGUCAAUGCCCUAUGGGCGUUAAACUUCUUUUGUACGGGAGCAAUAAUGGUCACGUGUGGCCAGACGAGAGUACCGUACGAAUAAGCAUCAGCUAACUCCGUGCCAGCAGCCGCGGUAAUACGAGUGAUGCAAGCGUUAUCCGGAUUUGUUGGGUUUAAAGGGUGCGUAGGCUGUGAGGUAAGUCAGCGGUGAAAUGCCCCCGCUCAACGGGGUGAAGUGCUAUUGAUACUGACUUGCUGGAAUGCGGAUGCCGUGGGAGGAAUGUGUGGUGUAGCGGUGAAAUGCAUAGAUAUCACACAGAACACCGAUUGCGAAGGCAUCUUACGAAUCCGCUAUUGACGCUGAUGCACGAAAGCGUGGGUAUCAAACAGGAUUAGAUACCCGAGUAGUC